GGCCCCAUCGUCUAGUCAGGUCCAGGACGGAAGCCUCUCAAGCUUCAAACAGGGGUUCAAAUCCCCUUGGGGUCA
rnacentral:tRNA from 1 species